rnacentral:rRNA from 1 species
UACGUAGGGGGCAAGCGUUGUCCGGAUUUAUUGGGCGUAAAGAGCGUGUAGGCGGCCGCACAGGUCCGUUGUGAAAACUGGAGGCUCAACCUUCAGACGUCGAUGGAAACCGUGCGGCUAGAGUCCGGAAGAGGAGAGUGGAAUUCCUGGUGUAGCGGUGAAAUGCGCAGAUAUCAGGAAGAACACCGGUGGCGAAGGCGGCUCACUGGCCAGUUUCUGACGCUGCAGCGCGAAAGCGUGGGGAUCAAACAGG